UACGGAGGUGGCUAGCGUUGUUCGGAAUUACUGGGCGUAAAGGGCGCGUAGGCGGCUUUGCAAGUCAGAUGUGAAAGCCCCGGGCUUAACUCGGGAACUGCAUCUGAAACUGCUUAGCUUGAGUCCUGGAGGGGGUAGUGGAAUUCCCAGUGUAGCGGUGAAAUGCGUAGAUAUUGGGAGGAACACCUGCGGCGAAGGCGGCUACCUGGACAGUGACUGACGCUGAGGCGCGAAAGCUAGGGGAGCGAACGGG
rnacentral:rRNA from 1 species